GUCUAUUUGAGGUUAUGUAUAGUCUAGCCUGCUCACUGACAAAAAUGUUAAAUAGCCGCGGUAUUUUGACCGUGCAAAGGUAGCAUAAUCAUUAGUUUUUUAAUUGAAAACUUGUAUGAAUGGUUGGACAAAGAAAAAGCUGUCUCUUUUAUUUGAAUUGAAAUUAACUUCUAAGUGAAAAGGCUUAGAUUUUUUAGAGGGACGAUAAGACCCUAUAAAGCUUUAUAAGUUAAGUAAGUUAAAUUAAUUUUUUUAAAUAAAAAUAAGCUUAAAAAAUUUAUUUGGUUGGGGCGACAAUGGUAUAAAUUAAAUAACUGCUAUUAAAAUUAAGCAAUUAUAUUUGAUUAGAAUUAUAAUUGAUCCUUAUUAUGGAUUAAAAGAUCAAGUUACUUUAGGGAUAACAGCGUAAUUUCUUUUGAGAGUUCUUAUCAAAGAAGAAGUUUGCGACCUCGAUGUUGAAUUAAAAUGUCUUUAUAGUGCAGAAGCUAUAAAAGAAGGUCUGUUCGACCUUUAAUUUUUUA
rnacentral:rRNA from 1 species